rnacentral:snRNA from 1 species
GUGCUCACUUCAGCAGCACAUAUGCUAAAAUUGAAAUUAUACAGAGAAGAUUAGCAUGACCCCUGUGCAAGGAUGACACGCAAAUUCGUGAUGCAUUCCAUAGUUUU